rnacentral:rRNA from 1 species
UACGUAGGUGGCAAGCGUUGUCCGGAUUAUUGGGCGUAAGCGCGCGCAGGUGGUUCGUUGCGUCCGAGGUGAAAUCUCCCGGCUCAACUGGGAGGGGUCUUCGGAUACGGGCGGACUUGAGGAGAGCAGAGGUAGGCGGAAUGCUGGGUGUAGUGGUGAAAUGCGUAGAUAUCCAGCGGAACACCAGUGGCGAAGGCGGCCUACUGGGCUCCACCUGACACUGAGGCGCGAAAGCGUGGGGAGCGAACCGG